UCGGAGGAGUGGAUAGUCGCUGGCUGGCGCGAGCUGGCUGGAGGAAAGUCCGGACUCCAUAGGGCAGGAUGCCCCGUGAAAACGGGGGCGGUGCGGGUCAAGCCGCGCCGACGGAUAGUGCCACAGAGAACAGACCGCCGCGGCGUGUCGCAAGACGCGCCGGGGUAAGGGUGAAAAGGUAGGGUAAGAGCCUACCGGGUUGGCGAGUGAUCGCCGGCCGCACGGAAAACCCCGUCUGGUGCAAGAUCAAAUAGGGGACUGAGUGGCCCGCUCGUGAGUCCCGGGUAUUGAUCGCAUAGACAAAUGACUAUCUGAAUCCAGCGGCCUUCGGGCAACUGGAUAUAACAGAAUCCGGCUUACGGCUCCUCCGAUUCA
rnacentral:RNase_P_RNA from 1 species